UGACCUUAAGAGCAACUUCAUUGC
rnacentral:siRNA from 1 species